rnacentral:rRNA from 1 species
AGUGAACGCUGGCGGUAGGCCUAACACAUGCAAGUCGAACGGCAGCACAGGAGAGCUUGCUCUCUGGGUGGCGAGUGGCGGACGGGUGAGGAAUACAUCGGAAUCUACUUUUUCGUGGGGGAUAACGUAGGGAAACUUACGCUAAUACCGCAUACGACCUACGGGUGAAAGCAGGGGACCUUCGGGCCUUGCGCGAUUGAAUGAGCCGAUGUCGGAUUAGCUAGUUGGCGGGGUAAAGGCCCACCAAGGCGACGAUCCGUAGCUGGUCUGAGAGGAUGAUCAGCCACACUGGAACUGAGACACGGUCCAGACUCCUACGGGAGGCAGCAGUGGGGAAUAUUGGACAAUGGGCGCAAGCCUGAUCCAGCCAUACCGCGUGGGUGAAGAAGGCCUUCGGGUUGUAAAGCCCUUUUGUUGGGAAAGAAAUCCAGCUGGCUAAUACCCGGUUGGGAUGACGGUACCGUAAGAAUAAGCACCGGCUAACUACGUGCCAGCCGCCGCCGUAA